CUGCUCGUUUCAGCAGCACAUAUACUAAAACUGGAAGAAUACGAGGAUCAGCAGGGCCCCUGCACAAGGAUGGCACAUAAAUUUAUGAAGUGAUCCAUAUUUUA
rnacentral:snRNA from 1 species